AGAGCGCACGGUGAAUGCCUUGGCACUAGGAGCCGACGAAGGACGGGACUAACACCGAUAUGC
rnacentral:rRNA from 1 species